rnacentral:rRNA from 1 species
AGAGUUUGAUUCUGGCUCAGGAUGAACGCUGGCGGCAUGCCUAACACAUGCAAGUCGAGCGGCAGCAUGCUCACUGAAUCUUUCACGCGUUUGGAAGGUUUUGUGAGUGAUGGCGAGCGGCGGACGGCUGAGUAACGCGUGGGAAUCCACCCCAAAGUGAGGGAUAACGCACCGAAAGGUGUGCUAAUACCGCAUAUGGUCUUCGGAUUAAAGUUUUAACGCUUUGGGAGGAGCCCGCGUCGGAUUAGAUAGUUGGUGAGGUAAUGGCUCACCAAGUCGACGAUCCGUAGCUGGUCUGAGAGGAUGAUCAGCCAGACUGGAACUGAGAUACGGUCCAGACUCCUACGGGAGGCAGCAGUGAGGAAUAUUCCACAAUGGGCGAAAGCCUGAUGGAGCAAUGCCGCGUGCAGGAUGAAGGCCUUCGGGUUGUAAACUGCUUUUAUAUGAGAAGACUAUGACGGUAACAUAUGAAUAAGGACCGGCUAACUACGUGCCAGCCGCCGCGGUAA